GUACAAAUGUAACCUUGGUUUGAGAAAUAUUCACUUCAACAAACUAGAAGAAAAGUUCGCUUUUUUAUAAUAGAAGAAAGAAGAAAGAAGAGUUCAUUAGGAGUUUAUGACAUUCCAUUAUUUUAUUUUAUUAGUCAAAGCAAUGAUAUAUGAUUAAGUGUGAUAACAAUGGAGCAACGGAAUAAUCAAAUUAGCACAAGCAUUUCACCGAACACCUCUUGAGCAUGAACAAAAUAGCAACUAUGCUUCAAACUUUCAAACCACAAGUUGUCCAAUGAUUCAAUAACAAAAUACUUGUAGCAGCUAGCUCACUAGAAUAUCAAUCCCCAUCAUCUCAUAUCAACAUACCGAAGAACACACAUAUGCCUCUCAUGCCAACUCAUCUAUACAAGCAACCACAUCACAUAUGCAUCAAUAGUAAGCAAGAUGGUGAUUUAAUCAACACAUAUAGCAAGGGAAAUACCAAAUCAAGAGUAGAUACCAAGAUUUAUGUGGAAACCCCUUGCGGAGAAAAACCACAGGCGGCGGCGAGCAAUCCACUAUAUGAAGAAGCAAUACAAGAGGUGGGAGCCAACAAAAAUGGGGAGGCUCAAAAUCCCCCACGGAUUUCAAUUUCUAUUGGAUGGAUUUGGUAGAUCUAAGCCUCUCCUCUCCUCUCCAUAACCCUAGCUCUCUCCUAACAAGAAGAACACAACUCUCUGUCUAUUCCUGAGUUGGGAAGAGCCAUAUAAUGGUAGCUUUUUAGAUUUGCCGUCGGAGCUCCAGAAUAUUACGAACAGCCCUAAUUUCAGCAUACAACAUGUACAGGUUUUGUUUUGCAUAACAAAUGAGCUAAUGUGUUCCAAAUUUGGUGAAUUAGGAGCUGCACAUUACAAUUCUCCACCUCAGCGACAAAUGAACUAUAGAGCAAACACAUCAAGCUUCUUGAUGCCAAAAAGUUCAAUCUUCAAAUGCUUCAUCUUCAAGUGAGUAAAUCAACAUGUAACAAACUCAUCGCCACCAGUUAGUUUAUCUACCAUAGAAGCUGAGUUUAUGUCUUUAACUUAGGAAGUGAAGGAGGCUAUUUGGUUGCAUAAUUUUCUUGGUGAUUUGACAUUGAGCAAGUUGAUCGUGUUGUCUUUUGUGAUAAUCAAAGUGUGAUUCACCUUGCAAAUGAUGAAAAGUUUCAUGAGAGGACUAAGCAUAUUGAUGUGCGAAAUUUCUUUAUUCGGUUUCAUGUGAAAAAGAAAGUUUUGUAUGUUGAGAAAAUUGGCACAAAAGACAACCAGCUCAUAUGUUAACCAAGGUGGUCCCAAAGGCCAAGUUUGAGCAUUGCUUGAACUUGGUUGGUAUUUGUUCUUUCCCAAGUUAGCUCCCAAGUUGAGCAUUGUAUGCUGCAAGGUUGCCCUCCAGGUAACACAAGACCCACAAAGCUGAAAUACAUAACCAGUGAGGGAGCACCUCUCAUUAAGAUCCCCAGCAAAAUCAAAAUAAGAAUAACCAACAACUUGUCCCAGAUUUGUUGUCCUCUUAUUAAACAUCAAACCAUAUUUGCUUCUGCCUCUAAGAUACCUGAGGAUCCACUGUGCUGGCUUCCAAUGUUCUUUGCUUGGAUUUGACAUAAAAUGGCUCACAAUACUAACUGCAUGUGCAAUAUCCGGAUGUGUGCAAACCAUUGCAUAUAUCAAACUGCCAAUGACACAAGCAUAAGGAACUCUAGACAUGUACCUUUCCUCCUCUGUAUCUAAUGGCCCUAAUGAAGUAGACAACCUGAAAUGUGCUGGCAAAGGAGUAGCAACAGGUUUCGCUUGUGACAUGUGAAGCCAAAGUCUUCCCAUAGACCUGUCACAGCGAAUAUCCAUCUCAACAACCUCCUGGCUGCACCCAAAUCCUUCAUCUCAAACUCACUCUUGAGCAUGGCUUUUCUUUCAUCAAUAGCAGAACAAUUCUUUCCUACAAUAAGGAUGUCAUCAACAUAAAGCAAUAUGUACACCCUUGAGCCAUCUGCAAGCACCUGCUAAAACAUACACGCAUCAUAUGAACUUAAACCAUGGCUACUAACAUAAGAAUCAAAAUGAUAGUACCAUUGCCUUGGAGACCGCUUCAAGCCAUACAAUGACUUCUUUAGAAAACAAACAUGGUUUUCUUUGCCUUCAGCUCACCAUGAAGAAAUAUUGUCUUCACAUCCAUUUGCUCUAAUUCCAAAUCAAAUAGAGCAACCAAAGGUAGCAAAGCACAAAUUGAAGUAUGCUUCACAACUGGAGAAAAUACCUCAUGGUAAUAAAUUCCCUCCUUCUGACUGAAGCCCUUAGCCACCAAUCUAGCUUUGUACCUUGGAGCAAUAACAUCUGGAGAAGCAUCUUUGAGCUUAAACACCUAUUUACAACCAACAAUCUUGCGCCCCUUGGGCGGCAACACCAUGUCCCAAGUAUUAUUUUUAUGCAAUGAUUCCAUCUCCUUUGUCAUAGCCUGGACCCAACUAGCUGCCUGAGGACUACUAAGUGCCUCUCUGUAAGUGCUAGGCUCAUCAUGAACAAUAUCCUCAACAACUAUCAAAGUGAAGGCAGCUGUACCUCUGCCUCUCGCUACUGGUGUGACCCACUCUCCAUAGAAAUUUGUUGGGUUCCUCUGUCUCUAUGAAUGAUGUACCAUGGGAGAGUCUGGAGCAUAUGAAGCUCCACUUGAAACUGUAUCCACUAACUGACCAUCAGCUACAUCUAACUCAAAUCUGCCUCAUUUGUGUCACCUUGAACACCAUUUGCAGACUCUGACAAUAAUGGUUGCUGCUGCUGACUGUUAAUUAUAGUAGACUCAGUCACUGGAGUCUUCACCUCAAAUGUUACCCUCUGUGCUACCUGCUCUGCUCCUGAACCACCACCUGAAGAAGUUCCACCUGAAGUAGAAGUCUCUUCCGACUACCGACAAGCUGGAGUAACAAUCACCAUCUCAUCAAAGGUCACAUCUCUACUGACGAUCACCUUAGGGGGUCUAGAAUCUUUACAUCACAAACGAUACCCCUUAACUCCAUCACCAUAACCAAGAAAGACACACUUCAAAGCUCAAGGUUCCAACUUGUUCUAACGAAUGUGUGCAUAUGCCGGACAACCAAAUACCCUCAAGUGAUCAUACGGAGGUGGCUUGCUAGACCACACCUCCUCUGGUGUCUUACACUCGAUAGUUUCGAAGCCAAGCAAUUAACCAAGUAGCAUAAUGUGGUAACUGCCUCUACCCAAAGACUCUGUGGUAACCCGGCAUGAGAGAGCAUGCAACAAGUCCUCUAUAACAGUGUCUUGUUCAUACGUUCCGCUACUCCAUUUUGCUGUGGAGUGCCAACUGUGGUGUAGUGUCGAAUAAUGCCAACGUCUCGACAAUACUUCUCAAAUUUUUCCAAGCGGAACUCAGUACCAUUAUCUAAUCUCAAAUAUUUGACCUUUCUUUCUAUUUGUGUUUCCACCAUAGCCUUCCACUGAUGGAAAUGAGCAAAUGUCUCAUCUUUGGACUUCAAGAUGUAGACCCAAACCUUCCCGCUGAAAUCAUUUCAGCACCAAAGGUUAGCAAAUAUUUUCCACCUCCAAUAGAUGUUACCGGUGCAUCACCCCACAAAUCUUUAUGCACAUAGUCAAGAAUGGCCCUCGUCAUGUGGACUGACCUACUGAAGCUCAAACGAGUUUGCUUCUCAAAAACACAAUGCUCAUAGAACUGCAAACUACCUGUCUUUCGACUGCCCAACAGACCAUGGCGACUCAACUCUGCCAUACCACGCUCUAACAUGUACCCCAAUCUCAUAUACCACAAUGCAGCCAUAGUGUCAUCAUCAACCUGGGAACUACAAGGCACUGCUGCUGACCUAGUAAGCAAAUUGCCCUACAAGAAAUACAAGUCAUCUGUAUCUGAAGUAGUAAGAGCCUUCAUCACACAUAAGGAACCCCUAAAAAUCUUGAUCUGAUAGCUAUGAAUCACAAACUUGUAGCCUUUCCGAUCAAGUACCUUGAAAGAGAUCAAAUUCUUCUUCAUCCCAACCACAUGGUGAACAUCUAUGAGUGUACGAACAAUACCAUCAAACAUCCUGAAUCUGAUUGUGCCAAUACCAACAAGUCUGCACUUUGUGUCAUUGCCCAUAGAAACUGAGCCAUCAUUCAAUGGCUCAUAGGUAGCAAACCACUCCCUCUAUGGACACAUAUGGUAAGAACAAGCAGAAUAAAAAAUUCAACUAGUGUUGAAGCUCAUAUCACAACCAGCUGAACACUAGAAGCACACUGCCCAAUUAAAGAAAUAUCUGCACUGACAACAAGUAACUCACUAGAACCAACCGAAUCACCAUCUUCUACUACCACACUAGCUGCUAAAGAAUUCUCACCCUUGUUGCCAUCACCUUGCUUGUCCCUCUUUUUCUUCAAUAUGGAACAAUCCCACUUGAAUGACCAAAUUCCUUGCAAUGCCUUUGCUGCCCGGACGUGACUUUGAAUGGCCCUUAGAUUUACUCCUACCACUGUCAGAAGCAUUACCACUACUAUGACAACGCUCUAUGGAUCUCCCACGACUCACAACAAGACCAUCGCUUUGGCCAUGACUCUCCAUAUGAGACUUCUUGAGCAAAUCCUUAGACAAAAGUAUAGAAGUGAUAUCAUCCAUAGAAACAGAAUUUGUGCCAUGAAGGAUCUGAUCUUUGAUGCUAUCAUAAGAAUCUCGGAGUGAACACAAGAACAAAAUAGACAAAUGAUCUGUAUCCAUAGAGUUGGCAACAUUCUGAUAAUCAAGCACUGCCUUGUUAAACUCAUCAAUAUAUUGCUUGAUAGGAGUGUCUUUUUGCAUACACAUCCUAAACAAGCGCAUCAUGAGGUAGGAACGACUUGAGAGUGACUUAUCCAAAUAGACAGAUUCCAUUUUCUUCCAAAGUGCCAUAGCAGAUUUUUCCUCACAAACUUGCAUCAUAACAUUAUCAGCAAGAGCUAAACGGAACACUACCAAUGCCUUCUUAUCUAUCUUCUUCAACUCAUCUUUUGAUGUGUUAGCCAAAUCUAGAUCAGUUUCUUCCAAAGUAAUAUCUAAACUCUUGUCAACUAGGACAGAUUGCAUUUUCACUUGCCAUAACCUAAAGUCACCAUUACCAUCAAACUUGCUCACUUCUAAUGCUGACAUAUUGAACCAAAUCAGCAAGAUUAAUUUGUGACUUUGAUAAUUAGAGCCCUGAUACCACUUGUGAUAACAAUGGAGCAGCGGAAUAAUCAAAUUAGCAAACUAACUUGUCACAAGCAUUUCACCGAACACCUCGUAAGCAUGAACAAAAUAGCAACUAUGCUUCAAACUUUCAAACCACAAGCUGUCCAAUGAUUCAAUAACAAAAUACUUGCAGCAGGUAGCUCACUAGAAUAUCAAUCCCCAUCAUCUCAUAUCAACAUAUCAAAGAACACACAUGCCUCUUAUGCCGACUCAUCCAUACAAGCAACCACUUCACAUAUGGAUCAAUAGCAAGCAAGAUGAUGACUUAAUCAACACAUAUGGCAAGGGAAAUACCAAAUCAAGAGUAGACACCA
rnacentral:lncRNA from 1 species